rnacentral:rRNA from 1 species
CCUAUGGGGUGCAGCAGGCGCGAAAACUUUACAAUGCGGGCAACCGUGAUAAGGGAACCUCGAGUGCCUGUAUAUGCAGGCUGUCUGGGUGUCUAAAACACACCUAAAGAAAGGGCCGGGCAAGACCGGUGCCAGCCGCCGCGGUAAUACCGGCGGCUCGAGUGGUGGCCACUUUUAUUGGGCUUAAAGCGUUCGUAGCUGGGUUAUUAAGUCCCUUGGGAAAUCCGACGGCUUAACCGUCGGGCGUCUAAGGGAUACUGGUAAUCUUGGAACCGGGAGAGGUGAGGGGUACUUCGGGGGUAGGAGUGAAAUCCUGUAAUCCUCGAGGGACCACCUGUGGCGAAGGCGCCUCACCAGAACGGCUUCGACAGUGAGGGACGAAAGCUGGGGGAGCAAACCGGAUUAGAUACCCGGGUAGUCCCAGCCGUAAACGAUGUGCGUUAGGUGUAUCGGUGACCACGAGUCACCGAGGUGCCGAAGGGAAACCGUGAAACGUACCGCCUGGGAAGUACGGUCGCAAGGCUGAAACUUAAAGGAAUUGGCGGGGGAGCACCACAACAGGUGGAGCCUGCGGUUUAAUUGGACUCAACGCCGGAAAUCUCACCGGAUAAGACAGCUGAAUGAUUGUCGGGCUGAAGACUCUACAUGACUAGCUGAGAGGAGGUGCAUGGCCGUCGUCAGUUCGUACUGUGAAGCAUCCUGUUAAGUCAGGCAACGAGCGAGACCCACGCCAACAGUUGCCAGCAUGGCCUCCGGGCUGAUGGGGACACUGUUGGGACCGCCUCUGCUAAAGAGGAGGAAGGAAUGGGCAACGGUAGGUCAGCAUGCCCCGAAUUAUCCGGGCUACACGCGGGCUACAAUGGGCAGGACAAUGGGUAUCGACACCGAAAGGUGAAGGCAAUCUCUUAAACCUGUCCGUAGUUCGGAUUGUGGGCUGUAACUCGCCCACAUGAAGCUGGAAUCUGUAGUAAUCGCGUUUCAACAUAACGCGGUGAAUGUGUCCCUGCUCCUUGCACUCACCGCCCGUC